rnacentral:rRNA from 1 species
UACGUAGGGGGCAAGCGUUGUCCGGAUUUAUUGGGCGUAAAGGGCGUGUAGGCGGCCAACUAAGUCCGACGUGAAAUCCCCAGGCUUAACCUGGGAACUGCGUCGGAUACUGGAUGGCUUGAAUUCGGGAGAGGGAUGCAGAAUUCCAGGUGUAGCGGUGAAAUGCGCAGAUAUCGGGAAGAACACCCGUGGCGAAGGCGGUUCUCUGGGACGGUACUGACGCUGAGACGCGAAAGCGUGGGGAGCGAACAGG